rnacentral:lncRNA from 1 species
UAUCACUUUAUUUUAUCAAUAUAGAUAUAGAUAAAAAAGGGUAUAAGACUGUUUCAGUCAAUAACAAGAGACAACCUAGCUUACACAAGUGAAAGCAAACCACCCUGGUCAUACCAUUGCCAAAUUAACAAAGUCCCGCAUCACCAUUUGUAAUCCAGCAAUGCUACAUGUAUACAGGUUUAUAGAAAUUUUACUUUUGAUUGGAGAUUAAGGAGAUGAGGAUCCCAUAUUCCUUAAAAAUCAGGAAGAAUGGUUAGCUAGAAAGAAAGAAUGCUAGUCAAUGUAUAAUCAUAUGUACUCC